CAGUAGCCGCGGUAAUACGAGGGGGGCAAGCGUUGUUCGGAAUUAUUGGGCGUAAAGGGUGCGUAGGCGGUUCAGCAAGUCUCGUGUGAAAUCUUCGGGCUCAACCCGAAGUCUGCACGGGAAACUACUGGGCUUGAGUAAUGGAGAGGUGAGUGGAAUUUCCGGUGUAGCGGUGAAAUGCGUAGAUAUCGGAAGGAACACCUGUGGCGAAAGCGGCUCACUGGACAUUUACUGACGCUGAUGCACGAAAGCGUGGGGAGCAAACAGGAUUAGAUACCCCCGUAGUCCCUGUCUCUUAUAC
rnacentral:rRNA from 1 species